rnacentral:rRNA from 1 species
AGAGUUUGAUCCUGGCUCAGAUUGAACGCUGGCGGCAUGCCUUACACAUGCAAGUCGAACGGCAGCACGGGAGCAAUCCUGGUGGCGAGUGGCGAACGGGUGAGUAAUAUAUCGGAACGUGCCCAGUAAUGGGGGAUAGCCCGGCGAAAGCCGGAUUAAUACCGCAUACGACCUACGGGUGAAAGCGGGGGAUCGCAAGACCUCGCGUUAUUGGAGCGGCCGAUAUCAGAUUAGCUUGUUGGCGGGGUAAAAGCCCACCAAGGCGACGAUCUGUAGCUGGUCUGAGAGGACGACCAGCCACACUGGGACUGAGACACGGCCCAGACUCCUACGGGAGGCAGCAGUGGGGAAUUUUGGACAAUGGGCGCAAGCCUGAUCCAGCCAUGCCGCGUGUGGGAAGAAGGCCUUCGGGUUGUAAACCACUUUUGUCAGGGAAGAAACGGCUCUUACUAAUAUUAGGAGCUAAUGACGGUACCUGAAGAAUAAGCACCGGCUAACUACGUGCCAGCAGCCGCGGUAAUACGUAGGGUGCAAGCGUUAAUCGGAAUUACUGGGCGUAAAGCGUGCGCAGGCGGCUUUGCAAGACAGAUGUGAAAUCCCCGGGCUCAACCUGGGAACUGCAUUUGUGACUGCAUGGCUAGAGUACGGUAGAGGGGGAUGGAAUUCCGCGUGUAGCAGUGAAAUGCGUAGAUAUGCGGAGGAACGCCGAUGGCGAAGGCAAUCCCCUGGACCUGUACUGACGCUCAUGCACGAAAGCGUGGGGAGCAAACAGGAUUAGAUACCCUGGUAGUCCACGCCCUAAACGAUGUCAACUGGUUGUUGGACGGCUUGCUGUUCAGUAACGAAGCUAACGCGUGAAGUUGACCGCCUGGGGAGUACGGCCGCAAGGUUGAAACUCAAAGGAAUUGACGGGGACCUGCACAAGCGGUGGAUGAUGUGGUUUAAUUCGAUGCAACGCGAAAAACCUUACCUACCCUUGACAUGUCUAGAAGUUUCCAGAGAUGGAUUCGUGCUCGAAAGAGAACUAGAACACAGGUGCUGCAUGGCCGUCGUCAGCUCGUGUCGUGAGAUGUUGGGUUAAGUCCCGCAACGAGCGCAACCCUUAUCAUUAGUUGCUACGCAAGGGCACUCUAAUGAGACUGCCGGUGACAAACCGGAGGAAGGUGGGGAUGACGUCAGGUCAUCAUGGCCCUUAUGGGUAGGGCUACACACGUCAUACAAUGGCCGGUACAGAGGGCUGCCAACCCGCGAGGGGGAGCUAAUCUCAGAAAACCGGUCGUAGUCCGGAUCGCAGUCUGCAACUCGACUGCGUGAAGUCGGAAUCGCUAGUAAUCGCGGAUCAGCUUGCCGCGGUGAAUACGUUCCCGGGUCUUGUACACACCGCCCGUCACACCAUGGGAGCGGGUUCUGCCAGAAGUAGUUAGCCUAACCGCAAGGAGGGCGAUUACCACGGCAGGGUUCGUGACUGGGGUGAAGUCGUAACAAGGUA